rnacentral:lncRNA from 1 species
UCCAUUUUAUUUUACAUUAUCCCCACCUAAAUAUCUCACUCCCAAGCCCUCUUUAUAAGUAAAAUUCUUCUACCUGCUCUAGUAUUGACAAAAUUCUUAGGAGAUAAGUUUAUCAUAUUCCCUUUUGUAAGAGUACCCAGUGUAACCUCACUGAAUUACUUAUGUCUCUAUCAUAUAUACCUUUGAAUGCUUCUUUUGACUCUUAUUUGAAAGUCAUCCCUUGUCUUUUCAUCAGGAAUGCUUCAGCGGCCUCUAUUUCAUUAAAUGGCCAAUUUUUCUCUUGCCGUGCUUCCCCAGAGAGGAAGCCUGUAGUAAGUGGAAUGUUCCCAGAACGAGUGUCUCCUGCCACAAAGAUCUUGUCCGCUGAGUGAUGUCAGUCUAGAUGUAUUUCCAUAGAGAGCAAUCCUGAAGUAACUGGUGUAAGACAGAAACUGGAAAGCCUCUCUGGGCAAAGGAACCGACCUUUAUUAAGGGAAACAAGGUGAGGUCUCAGACCGUACUGGACGGGCCAUAGAGCCCACCCUUGUUUCUCUCAAAGGUUGGUUUCUUUGCCCAGAAGCCCUUCCCAGUCUCUCUCUUACACCAAAAUGUUCCCAGAGAGAGUGUCUUCCUCCACAACUGUCUUUUCCUCUGAGUUCUGAGAGUAGAGGUGCUUCCCCCGAGAGGGUAGUAACUAAAAGGUUCUCAGAAAGAUUAUCUCCUCCAUCCACACGUGUCUUUUCCUCAGAAUCUUCAGAGAUUAGAUGUGCUUCCCCUGAGAGGGUAGUAAUUGGAAUGUUUUCAGAACGACUGUUUCCAUCUACAAGUGUGUUGUCUUCUGUGUGUUCAGAGAUUAGAUGUGCUUCAACAGAAAGCAAGACUUCAAUAAAUGGACUUUUGCCAGAAAGAUUAUCUCCCACCACAAAUAUCUUUUCCUCUCUGGAUUAUAUAGUUGUGUUGAUUUUUUCAUUCCUAAAACACAAAAUACCAUUCGUCACAUGGCAUGACUCUCAGGAAGCAGAAGG